GCCAUGUGACAGACCCUGGGACUCCGAGAUGAAGCAAACACAAGCCAUUCUUUCACAGAGCUCACAGUCCAGGAGGAGAGGCCAGUGCAAAUGACACAGCAGAGCAGGAUUGUCACCCAGGCUUGUGGCUCUCCAAGUGUGGUCUAUAGGUCUCCAGUGAGCCAUGAGGAUCUGUCUGAAGGCCUCAGAAAGAAACACAUCUUCCAAUGCCUGAGAAUUCACCUUUUAGCAGAUGACUUUGGUGUCUGGAAUUGAAAUUCAACCUACAACCUUCAACCUACGCUUCUGGCAAACCAAACUCAUCAGUGCUGUCUACAACCUGCAAAUACAGCCAACAAGGUAUAGGCAAAAAUGAGGCAGUGUGGAGGUGCCUGGAAGGUUCUCUCGCACCGUCGGACCAGGAAGGUGAGGUUAUCCUGAUUCUUCCAGAUGGAGGGUGGGGGCUGAAUUUCAAAGGAGCUGCAAGACUUGCUCUCUCCCCAUGAUUUGUUGGUGGCAGAAGGACGGUCUUACAUUCUGUCUCCCAACAUCCUGCCCAGGACUCUUUCCUCCUUCACCAGGUUGAUUUUCUUGGGUGAAACAUACAAACUCAGGGAUUGGACAUGCAGCAAAGUAAGUCAGUAAGUGGACACUAGUGACCUGGUGACCUUUGUGUGGUCCCCAGGUCUGGUCCCUGGGGAAGGAUCAGGUGCAAAGCUGGGUUCAUUGAAUUACUUUGGCGAUACAAUUACCCCUCAGCUCUUCCGGCUGCUGUGCAAAGUGGCUUUCUAUGCAGUCAGGGUAGAUCGAAAUGAGGCUCAGGACUUCAGAUAAACAAAGUCCUAGAAGGCCUGACUGGGAAGGGACUUUCAAGAUUGGUGAGUCCAAUGCAUUCAUUUCACAUUAUGUGAACACUGACACAAGGUGCUUAUAUAAAGGACUGCCUCUAUGAACACAGGGAGUUAGUUUGUUGUUAUUCCAACUCAAAGAAGGGCCAUGGUAGAGACUAGAAAUGUGUGUUUACUUCUAGUUAAACAUGGGAGAGUGGAUAUGCCAGUUUAGUUCUAUCUUCUUCUGAAACCCACUACAAUGACGGUAAAGGCAUAUAAAGUAUAAGCCCACAAGGAUGAGGUGGAUGAUAGAGGGGACAGAUACAGGCAUGCAAUGUCAACAGGAUCUAGACAGAUGGGAAGGGGUGCCAUGGAGUGACAAGUGAGGGGGCAGAGCUGAGAAAGCUGGGGCAUAACUCACUAAGGGGGUGGGGCCAGUCAGAAGCGGGUUGAUGAACACCACAGAGUCCAGCAAGUUCAGGAAUGGAAUGUGUACAAAAGCAAAGAUGCCUUUGAAGACUAGGGUGGGGCAUGGCUGAACAAAGGUGUGUUUAAAAGCUUAAAUAAGGAAUAGAUGCCAAGCUCUCCAACAGUCUAGAGGACUCCAAGCUCUCCAAGCUCUCUUCAACAGUCUAGAGGACUGUCCUUCCCAGUCUAGAUGAAAGGCUGAGGUUACUCUCUGGAGAGACUGAGCCAGAGAGAAGAUUCUGGAUUGUAUUGUAGCUCAGUGGUGCUACAGUGGAAACAGAAAUGAAGGUUUGUUCACAUAGGAGCCCAGGCUCUUCUUCCACCUAUGCUCCUAGCAGCUUGGUUUGAAAGGGUUGGAGGAACCUCUAGAGAGAUGGAGUGAGAUAGAGAUGUGAGUCCCCCAACAAAAUGACUGGGUACUUGCUUACUCACUCUAUGUUGAGCCCCAUAGUUGACAAGACCUGUGUAUGCAUUUGGGACUCCCAAUAAACGGUUUCAUUCUUGGCUCAAGGACAAAAGGGCCAUCGGGCAUUGGGUGGGAGUCUCCAACAUGAAAGAAGACCCAACCGAACAACAGCAGUGGAACCGAAAGAAAGAAAGAAAAAAACUUGGAAGAGACACUAUUCAGGUUGUAGAAUAAAAUACCAGUAACAUAUAUUCUUAGAGAUAACAAGAAAAUGAUGCACUGAAUAUAAACAAUAUGCUAGAAGAAGAUGAAUGAACAGGGAAUAAGUAAAAGAUCUUGGAAAUGUAAAAUGUGAUGACCAAAAUUAAAAAUUCAGUAACAAGUUUAGAAAAUAAAGUUUAGAGAUAAAGUUCACUUGUGUGAAAGGAACAGCUAAAGUUAUUUCAAAUUGGAAAGUAUGGGGAAAAGAGGAGAGAAUAUAAAUAACUGCUGUAAACAGUAUUAAUGGUUGAUGGCAUAAGAACAUGGUGAUGUAUGUUUCAAUAUCUAAUGGAAUGAUACCAUCUGUGACAUUGUAUAUAUGGCAAAUAUUCCGAAGAAGCCUUUGGCUUUUGCUUAAUAAAACA